GUCUACAACAACAAGGCCUGUUGGAACUCAAUUAUGGUGUGAAUAUUGGAAUAUUGUGGGAUUCUCUAGUGAGUUCGUUGAUGUAGAUUAAAAAUAGAGAAUUUUGGAUGCGAGCCAACUGUGCGCUUCUUUACUACAUGAUAUGAAUGUUUAUAGGAUGUUGUUGUGGUUUGAGAGAUUCGCUGAGAAAGAUUAAAAUUUUAUUUAUAAAGAGAUAUCUUUCAAUCCUAGUUGUUUGGAGCAACAUAAAAGAUUUGCAACAAUGUGGAAAAUGCCCAUGAUUUAUAUCUAAGGAGAUGAAU
rnacentral:misc_RNA from 1 species